rnacentral:lncRNA from 1 species
CGCGGGUCGAGUGCUGUAGUUCGAUUUUUGCGUGUGUGCGUUGCUUGCGGCCUUUGUGCCUUUUUAUUCUUUGCUUACCUUUAUGAUAUAAAGACCUUAUUUCUUACAAGGAGGAAAAGACCGCUGACUUCAGAAACAGCGGGAACCCCAGCUCGUCCCCGAUGACAAAAUUGGGGUCUGGACGUGUGCAAGGACUUUUCCAAAGUCAGCUGGAAAGGAGCUGCUUAGCUGAGAGGUUCUGGCUCCAGAGUCUCCUGUGAAGUUGCAGUCAAGAUGUCUGCUGGGACCCCAGUCAUUUGAAGCCCUGUCUGGGGCAGGAGAAUCUAGGUCCAAAAUGGCCGUUGCAGGAGUCCUUAUCCACACCAUGUGGGACCUCUUCAUAGAUGUUCGAGUGUCCUCAUGGCAUGGCCACUGGCUUUCCCCAAAGUAAGCAGUCCAAAAGAGGGUAAGACAGAGCCCACACUGUCUUUUAUGAAUUAGCCUUAGAAGUCUAACACGGUUACUUCCACCACAUUCAUUAGUCGUUAGGUACAGCUCACAUUCAUGGGGAGGAAAAUCAGGGCCUGUCUUUAGAUAGGAGAUGUAUCAAAGAAUUUGUGGACAUAUUUUAAAAUCACAGCACUACUCUUGAUGUACUAAGUCAGUGACUCCCCCAGGAGUCUCACAGAGAAUUGACUCCUUGCCCACCUAUACUACCUUUGUGGGUAGAGACUCCAGUAGUGUGCUG